UGCAGUCGAGCGGUAACAGGGGGUGCUUGCACCCCGCUGACGAGCGGCGGACGGGUGAGUAAUGCAUAGGAAACUGCCCAGUAGUGGGGGAUAGCCCGGGGAAACCCGGAUUAAUACCGCGUACGCCCUUCGGGGGAAAGCAGGGGAUCUUCGGACCUUGCGCUAUUGGAUGUGCCUAUGUCGGAUUAGCUAGUUGGUGGGGUAAAGGCCUACCAAGGCGACGAUCCGUAGCUGGUCUGAGAGGAUGAUCAGCCACAUCGGGACUGAGACACGGCCCGAACUCCUACGGGAGGCAGCAGUGGGGAAUAUUGGACAAUGGGGGCAACCCUGAUCCAGCCAUGCCGCGUGUGUGAAGA
rnacentral:rRNA from 1 species